GUGGCUGUGGCUCAGUGUUACAGCACUCGCCUAGCAUGCGUGAGGCACUGGGUUCAAUCCUCAGCACCACA
rnacentral:tRNA from 1 species